rnacentral:rRNA from 1 species
UACGUAGGGUGCAAGCGUUAAUCGGAAUUACUGGGCGUAAAGCGUGCGCAGGCGGUUUUGUAAGACAGAUGUGAAAUCCCCGGGCUCAACCUGGGAACUGCAUUUGUGACUGCAUAGCUAGAGUACGGUAGAGGGGGAUGGAAUUCCGCGUGUAGCAGUGAAAUGCGUAGAUAUGCGGAGGAACACCGAUGGCGAAGGCAAUCCCCUGGACCUGUACUGACGCUCAUGCACGAAAGCGUGGGGAGCAAACAGG